UACAGAGGGUGCAAGCGUUGUUCGGAAUUAUUGGGCGUAAAGGGAGUGUAGGCUGCAAUGCAAGUCUUCUGUGAAAUCUACGGGCUCAGCCUGUAACGUGCAGAGGAUACUACAUAGCUUGAGUGUCGGAGAGGAUAGUGGAAUUCCCGGUGUAGAGGUGAAAUUCGUAGAGAUCGGGAGGAACACCAGUGGCGAAGGCGACUAUCUGGCUGACAACUGACGCUGAGACUCGAAAGCAUGGGGAGCAAACAGG
rnacentral:rRNA from 1 species